rnacentral:rRNA from 1 species
AGCAGCCGCGGUAAUUCCAGCUCCAAUAGCGUAUAUUAAAGUUGUUGCAGUUAAAAAGCUCGUAGUUGAAUUUCGGGAUUGACACAUCGGUCGUGCCUUAAGGGGUGUGAACUGGUGUAGUCAAUUUCUCACCUUCUGGAGAACCGCGAUGUCCUUAAUUGGGUGCCGCGAGGAACCAGGACCUUUACUUUGAAAAAAUUAGAGUGUUUAAAGCAGGCAUUUUUGCUUUGAAUACAUUAGCAUGGAAUAAUAAAAUAGGACGGCAUGAUUCUAUUUUGUUGGUUUCUAGGAUCACCGUAAUGAUUAAUAGGGAUAGUUGGGGGCAUUAGUAUUCAAUUGUCAGAGGUGAAAUUCUUGGAUUUAUUGAAGACUAACUACUGCGAAAGCAUUUGCCAAGGAUGUUUUCAUUAAUCAAGAACGAAAGUUAGGGAUCGAAGACGAUCAGAUACCGUCGUAGUCUUAACCAUUAAACCUAUAGACCGACUAGGAAUCAGACGAUGUUAAUUUUUUAAUGUACUUCGUUUGGCACGUUACGGGAAACCUAAA